rnacentral:rRNA from 1 species
AUUGAACGCUGGCGGCAUGCCUUACACAUGCCAGUCGAACGGUAACAGGUCUUCGGAUGCUGACGAGUGGCGAACGGGUGAGUAAUACAUCGGAACGUGCCCGAUCGUGGGGGAUAACGAGGCGAAAGCUUUGCUAAUACCGCAUACGAUCUACGGAUGAAAGCGGGGGAUCUUCGGACCUCGCGCGGACGGAGCGGCCGAUGGCAGAUUAGGUAGUUGGUGGGAUAAAAGCUUACCAAGCCGACGAUCUGUAGCUGGUCUGAGAGGAUGAUCAGCCACACUGGGACUGAGACACGGCCCAGACUCCUACGGGAGGCAGCAGUGGGGAAUUUUGGACAAUGGGCGAAAGCCUGAUCCAGCCAUGCCGCGUGCAGGAUGAAGGCCUUUGGGUUGUAAACUGCUUUUGUACGGAACGAAAAGCCUCUUUCUAAUAAAGAGGGGUCAUGACGGUACCGUAAGAAUAAGCACCGGCUAACUACGUG